CAGUCGCGGUAAUACGAAGGGGGCUAGCGUUGUUCGGAAUUACUGGGCGUAAAGCGCACGUAGGCGGAUAUUUAAGUCAGGGGUGAAAUCCCAGAGCUCAACUCUGGAACUGCCUUUGAUACUGGGUAUCUUGAGUAUGGAAGAGGUGAGUGGAAUUCCGAGUGUAGAGGUGAAAUUCGUAGAUAUUCGGAGGAACACCAGUGGCGAAGGCGGCUCACUGGUCCAUUACUGACGCUGAGGUGCGAAAGCGUGGGGAGCAAACAGGAUUAGAGACCCCUGUAGUCCCUGUCUCUUAUACACA
rnacentral:rRNA from 1 species